rnacentral:rRNA from 1 species
UCGACCGGCGCACGGGUGAGUAACGCGUAUCCAACCUGCCCACCACUUGGGGAUAACCUUGCGAAAGUAAGACUAAUACCCAAUGAUAUCUCUAGAAGACAUCUGAAAGAGAUUAAAGAUUUAUCGGUGAUGGAUGGGGAUGCGUCUGAUUAGCUUGUUGGCGGGGUAACGGCCCACCAAGGCAACGAUCAGUAGGGGUUCUGAGAGGAAGGUCCCCCACAUUGGAACUGAGACACGGUCCAAACUCCUACGGGAGGCAGCAGUGAGGAAUAUUGGUCAAUGGACGAGAGUCUGAACCAGCCAAGUAGCGUGCAGGAUGACGGCCCUAUGGGUUGUAAACUGCUUUUAUAAGGGAAUAAAGUGAGUCUCGUGAGACUUUUUGCAUGUACCUUAUGAAUAAGGACCGGCUAAUUCCGUGCCAGCAGCCGCGGUAAUACGGAAGGUCCGGGCGUUAUCCGGAUUUAUUGGGUUUAAAGGGAGCGUAGGCCGGAGAUUAAGCGUGUUGUGAAAUGUAGACGCUCAACGUCUGCACUGCAGCGCGAACUGGUUUCCUUGAGUACGCACAAAGUGGGCGGAAUUCGUGGUGUAGCGGUGAAAUGCUUAGAUAUCACGAAGAACUCCGAUUGCGAAGGCAGCUC